AUUGAACGCUGGCGGCAGGCCUAACACAUGCAAGUCGAACGGUAACAGGAAGAAGCUUGCUUCUUUGCUGACGCGUGGCGGACGGGUGAGUAAUGUCUGGGAAACUGCCUGAUGGAGGGGGAUAACUACUGGAAACGGUAGCUAAUACCGCAUAACGUCGCAAGACCAAAGAGGGGGACCUUCGGGCCUCUUGCCAUCGGAUGUGCCCAGAUGGGAUUAGCUAGUAGGUGGGGUAACGGCUCACCUAGGCGACGAUCCCUAGCUGGUCUGAGAGGAUGACCAGCCACACUAGAACUGAGACACGGCCCAGACUCCUACGGGAGGCAGCAGUGGCGAAUAUUGCACAAUGGGCGCAAGCCUGAUGCAGCCAUGCCGCGUGUAUGAAGAAGGCCUUCGGGUUGUAAAGUACUUGCAGCGGGGAGGAAGGGAGUAAAGUUAAUACCUUUGCUCAUGGACGUGACACGCAGAAGAAGCACCGGCUAACUACGUG
rnacentral:rRNA from 1 species